rnacentral:rRNA from 1 species
GACGGGCCCCGCACAAGCAGCGGAGCGUGUGGUUUAAUUCGAUGUUACACGAAGAACCUUACCAGGGUUUGACAUGCAAGUGGUAGGAAGCCGAAAGGUGACCGACCCUUCGGGGAGCUUGCACAGGUGCUGCAUGGCUGUCGUCAGCUCGUGUCGUGAGAUGUUCGGUUAAGUCCGCUAACGAGCGCAACCCUCGCUGUGUGUUAUAUGUGUCACACGGGACUGCCGGUCUUAAGCCGGAGGAAGGUGGGGAUGAUGUCAAGUCAGCAUGGCCUUUAUAUCCUGGGCUACACACACGCUACAAUGGCCAACACAAUAGGUUGCUAAGCCGCGAGGUGGCGCCAAUCCAUAAAGUUGGUCUCAGUUCAGAUUGUAGGCUGCAACCCGCCUGCAUGAAGAUGGAGUUGCUAGUGACCGCAGGUCAGCUAUACUGCGGUGAAUACGUUCCCGGGGCUU